UUACGGCCAUAUCACGUUGAAACACCGGUUCUCGUACGAUCACCGAAGUUAAGCAACGUCGAGCCUGGUUAAUACCUAGAUGGGUGACCGCUUGGAAAUAUCAGGUGGUGCAAG
rnacentral:rRNA from 1 species